rnacentral:lncRNA from 1 species
UGUUCACAAAAUGCACUUGGGUUCUCUUUGAAAUCUCCCCAAGAGUAGCAUCCCGUUAACAAUUUUGUCCUGCAAUCUCGCCUCAUAUUUUGCUGUUGAAAAUCCUCCAUUUAGAAAACUGCCCGUAGGUGACACGUACCGCACAAGUAAGCGGUUACGUUUUUAAAAAAAUCUCGAUGCUCUACAACCGGCAGGGUAGGGCUGCUUUUGAAAAUAGAGCUCACUGCUGUCACAGAUGACCAGAACGCUCACUUCAGCUUAGGGGGAUUUUCCGGACUAAUCAAAACAGCAGGAAAAAAAAAACGACAUUUUAGUUUCCAGGAUCCAGACUAGGCCUGCGAGUUCCUCCUCGCGCAGCACCACGCGCUCUGCUCGCAGGGUCUGGGCGCGCGGGCGACUCCAUUGCCUGGUACAGCGCGAGAGCCGACGUGUCGAAGUUCCGGCUGCAAGCGGGCGCGCGAGGGGAAUGGACGGUGAGGAAGAGGUGCGCCCCGACGGGGAGCCCCAGGGGGGCGGCCCCAGGCGCCUGGCCUGCACCACAGCCCUCUCCCUCGGAGCGUCAGCUGGGGCGGCCUCAG